UAGAUACCCUAUUAUUUGAAAUGUAAUUUAUUUACUAAAGUAGUAGUAGUUAUGUUCUUGAAACUUAAAAAAUUUGGCGGUAUUUUAGUCUAUUCAGAGGAACCUGUCCUAUAAUCGAUAAUCCACGUUGGACCUYACUUAAAUUUGUUUUCAGUAUGUAUACCGUCGUUAUAAGAAUAUUUUAUAAGAAUAAUAAUUUUCUAGAUUUUUUAUAAAAAUUUAUAUCAGAUCAAGGUGCAGCUUAUAUUUAAGUAGAGAUGGGUUACAAUAAUAAUAUUUAUACGGAUUAAUUUUUGAAAUAUAAUUAUGAAGGUGGAUUUGAAUGUAAAAUUAUAAAGAUUAAUAAUUUGAUUUUAGCU
rnacentral:rRNA from 1 species